GCACGGAUGGCAGGGUGGUCUAAGGCGCCAGACUCGAGCAGCGGCUUCGCGCGAGAUCCGUGCGGUUGGGCAUUCUGGUAUCCGUAUGGAUGCGGGGGUUCGAAUCCCACUUCGUGCA
rnacentral:tRNA from 1 species